AGUUCUGUACAGAGAAGCUUAGAAUGAAAAACUGUUACCUCUUGAGUUCAUGGUCCUCUCACUUUCCAGAAGCCACAGCCUGUGUUCAAGGUAACCUUGGCUUCCGAGCCCCAUAGGUUUUCUCUUGUUGAGAGUACACAGACUCGAGUUGGGCCAGCCAGGGUUUGAAUCUCAGCUCCAUUAUUUACUAGCACUGCUUGGGAAAAUAACUUAUUGUCUCUGAGCCUCAGUUUCCCCAUCCAUAAAAUGAGGAUUAUAAUAUUUGCCAGAUAGGGUUGGGUAUGAAAAGAAAUGGAAUAUACAAGUGAUUCAGCAUCAUUGUCCUCAUUAUGACUGAGGGAAUGAGCACGUUGCUCUGUGAGGGCCUUUUCUUCCUGCAUGACCUAAUUCAGUCAUCACUAUGGUCCUACUAGGCAGAUGGCAGAGCUGGAGCCCAGAGAAGCAGACUGAUUUUCCCAGGAUUGUUCAGCUUUAAAAUAGCACAGCCUGGCCUGAAACCCAGGGAGUGUGACCCCAGCCUUCAGGCUCUAGGUUUCUCCUUCUUCUUUUCUUUUUCUUCUUCUUCUUCUCUUUCUCCUCUUUCUUCUCCUUCUCCUUCUUCCUCCUCUUCCUCCUCCCCCUUUUCCUUCUUCUUCGUCUUCAACACUGUUAUUAUUAUUUUAGAGACAGGGUCUCACCAUGCUGCCCAGGGUGGUCUUAAACUCCUGAUCUCAAUCGAUCCUUGCACCUAAGUGCCGGGAUUACAGACAACAGCCACCACACCCGGCUCUCCCGGUGCUCCUGAUCCAAGCCCAAGGUCCCUUCACAAAUUCAUCAGACUGCAAGUGCCACAUGGGCAAGGAUUGGCUGAGUAUCCUCUGCUGUUGCAGCCCCAGCCUAGUGCAGUGCCUGGACCAUGGUAGGCACCAGACAUUUGCUGAAUAAAUGGCCUGAGAGGGCUGGAGUGCAGUGGUGUAAUCUCAGCUCACGGCAGCCUCCACCUCCUGGGCUCAAGCCAUCUUGUCACCUCAGUCUCCCGAGUAGCUGGGACCACAGGUAUGCACCAGCUAAUUUUUAAAUAUUUUGUAGAGAUGGGGUCUUGCUAUGUUGCCCAGGCUGGUCUGGAAUUCCUG
rnacentral:lncRNA from 13 species